GACAGAGGAUGCAAGUGUUAUCCGGAAUCACUGGGCGUAAAGCGUCUGUAGGUGGUUCGAAAGUCCACUGUUAAAAAUUGAGGCUUAACUUCAAAGAUGCCGUGGAAACUUUCAAACUAGAGUAUGGUAGGGGUAGAGGGAAUUUCCAGUGGAGCGGUGAAAUGCGUAGAUAUUGGAAAGACCACCGAUGGCGAAGGCACUCUACUGGGCCACUACUGACACUGAGAGACGAAAGCUAGGGAGCAAAUGGG
rnacentral:rRNA from 1 species